AACGGCCGUACCAUGCUGAAUAUACCGGUUCUCGUUAGAUCACCGAAGUCAAGCAUCAUUGGGCGCGGUCAGUACUUGGGUGGGUGACCACCUGGGAACACAGCAUGCCGU
rnacentral:rRNA from 1 species